GGAGGGAUCGCAUAGUGGCCUAGUGCGCGGGCUUGGAAAGCUCGUAUACCGUAAGGUAUCGUGGGUUCAAAUCCCACUCCCUCCGCCA
rnacentral:tRNA from 2 species